GGGGUGGAGCAGCUUGGUAGCUCGUCGGGCUCAUAACCCGAAGGUCGUCGGUUCAAAUCCGGCCCCC
rnacentral:tRNA from 3 species